UACGGGGGGGGCAAGCGUUGUUCGGAAUUACUGGGCGUAAAGGGCGCGUAGGUGGCCCGCUAAGUCGAACGUGAAAUCCCCGAGCUCAACUCGGGAACUGCGUCCGAUACUGGUGGGCUUGAAUCCGGGAGAGGGAUGCGGAAUUCCAGGUGUAGCGGUGAAAUGCGUAGAUAUCUGGAGGAACACCGGUGGCGAAGGCGGCAUCCUGGACCGGCAUUGACGCUGAGGCGCGAAAGCUAGGGGAGCAAACGGG
rnacentral:rRNA from 1 species